rnacentral:rRNA from 1 species
AUUGAACGCUGGCGGCAUGCCUUACACAUGCAAGUCGAACGGCAGCAUGGAGAGCUUGCUCUCUGAUGGCGAGUGGCGAACGGGUGAGUAAUGCAUCGGAACGUACCGUGUAAUGGGGGAUAACGUAGCGAAAGUUACGCUAAUACCGCAUACGACCUGAGGGUGAAAGCAGGGGAUCGCAAGACCUUGCGUUAUACGAGCGGCCGAUGUCAGAUUAGCUAGUUGGUGAGGUAAAGGCCCACCAAGGCGACGAUCUGUAGCGGGUCUGAGAGGAUGAUCCGCCACACUGGGACUGAGACACGGCCCAGACUCCUACGGGAGGCAGCAGUGGGGAAUUUUGGACAAUGGGGGCAACCCUGAUCCAGCCAUGCCACGUGAGUGAAGAAGGCCUUCGGGUUGUAAAGCUCUUUCGGCCGGGAAGAAAUCGCACAGGCUAAUACUCUGUGUGGAUGACGGUACCGGCAUAAGAAGCACCGGCUAACUACGUGCCAGCAGCCGCCGUAA